rnacentral:rRNA from 1 species
UACGAAGGUCCCAAGCGUUGUUCGGAAUCACUGGGCGUAAAGGGUGCGUAGGCGGUUUGGUAAGUCAGAUGUGAAAUCCCGGGGCUCAACCCCGGAACUGCAUCCGAUACUGCCAGACUAGAGGACUGGAGAGGUGACUGGAAUUCUCGGUGUAGCAGUGAAAUGCGUAGAGAUCGAGAGGAACACUCGUGGCGUAAGCGAGUCACUGGACAGUAUCUGACGCUGAGGCACGAAGGCCAGGGUAGCGAAAGGG